rnacentral:rRNA from 1 species
AUUGAACGCUGGCGGCAGGCCUAACACAUGCAAGUCGAACGAGUGGCGGACGGGUGAGUAAUGUCUGGGAAACUGCCUGAUGGAGGGGGAUAACUACUGGAAACGGUAGCUAAUACCGCAUACCAUCAGAUGUGCCCAUAUGGGCUUAGCUUGGUGGUGGGGUAACGGCUCACCAAGGCGACGAUCCCUAGCUGGUCUGAGAGGAUGACCAGCAAGACGGGAACUGAGCCACGGUCCGGACGCUUACGGGGGGCAGCAGGGGGGAAUAUUGCACAAUGGGCGCAAUCCUGAUGCAGCAAUGCCGGGGGUAGGAAGAAGGCCUUCGGGUUGUAAAGUACUUUCAGCGGGGAGGCGUUACCCGCAGAAGAAGCACCGGCUAACUCCGUGCCAGCAGCCGCGGUAAUAC